rnacentral:rRNA from 1 species
UGACCGCUGACAGAAUGCUUAACACAUGCAAGUCUACUUGAACUUCGGUUUGGGUGGCGGACGGGUGAGUAACGCGUAAAGAACUUGCCUCACAGUUAGGGACAACAUUUGGAAACGAAUGCUAAUACCUGAUAUUAUGAUUUUAGGGCAUCCUAAAAUUAUGAAAGCUAUAUGCGCUGUGAGAGAGCUUUGCGUCCCAUUAGCUAGUUGGAGAGGUAACGGCUCACCAAGGCGAUGAUGGGUAGCCGGCCUGAGAGGGUGAACGGCCACAAGGGGACUGAGACACGGCCCUUACUCCUACGGGAGGCAGCAGUGGGGAAUAUUGGACAAUGGACCAAAAGUCUGAUCCAGCAAUUCUGUGUGCACGAUGACGUUUUUCGGAAUGUAAAGUGCUUUCAGUUGGGAAGAAAAAAAUGACGGUACCAACAGAAGAAGUGACGGCUAAAUACGUG